rnacentral:rRNA from 1 species
CCUACGCGAGACAGCAGUGGGGAAUAUUGCGCAAUGGGCGAAAGCCUGACGCAGCGCCGCCGCGUGCGGGAUGAAGGUCUUCGGAUCGUAAACCUCUGUCAGCAGGGAAGAACGGUCACUGUGCUAAUCAGCAGUGAAUUGACGGUACCUGCACAGGAAGCACCGGCUAACUCCGUGCCAGCCGCCGCGGUAAUACGGAGGGUGCGAGCUUUAAUCGGAAUUACUGGGCGUAAAGCGCUCGUAGGCGGUAUGUCAAGUCAAGGGUGAAAUCCCCGCGCUCAACGUGGGAACUGCCUUUGAAACUGGAAAACUGGAGUGUGUGAGAGGAUAGUGGAAUUCCAGGUGUAGGAGUGAAAUCCGUAGAUAUCUGGAGGAACAUCAGUGGCGAAGGCGACUAUCUGGCACAUAACUGACGCUGAGGAGCGAAAGCGUGGGUAGCAAACAGGAUUAGAUACCCUAGUAGUC